UGCGGAGGAUCCAAGCGUUAUCCGGAUUUAUUGGGUUUAAAGGGAGCGUAGGCGGCCAAUUAAGUCAGGGGUGAAAGACGGUGGCUCAACCAUCGCAGUGCCUUUGAUACUGAUUGGCUUGAAUGUAGUUGAGGUAGGCGGAAUGUGACAAGUAGCGGUGAAAUGCAUAGAUAUGUCACAGAACACCGAUUGCGAAGGCAGCUUACUGUGCUAUAAUUGCCGCUGAGGCUCGAAAGCGUGGGGAUCAAACAGG
rnacentral:rRNA from 1 species